GGCAUGCAUCUUACUGUGGAUGAAUCUCAAAUAGCAGUCUACUGCGAGUGUGCACUAGCAGAAACAGCAACAGGCUCUGUGAGACAGCCAAGCACAGUCAUCACAUCACCGAGAAUGCAGCACUGCCUUACACAAAUAUUGUGGCACACAAUACACAAAACAUAGAGCAGGAAGAAUGGCUACUCUAAACUGACCACUGGUGUAAGUAAAUGUGUGGUUCCUUGUGAUGGAUUGGUGGUCUGAUCAGGAUGAUGCAGUUACUACAGAUGGGUGAAUUCACUCUAACAGGUUCCCUUGCCACAUGCACCACCACAGCGCUGACUGAGGAGAGCCACAGACUCCCCACCACAGACAUCACACACCCUCACUGACAGGCACACUGUUCACUUUAAACAUUAGACCGACAGAAAAAAACAACUUACUGACUUUGUGGCAUGCUUGUUGGCAACAAACUGAUGAUCUGGGAAU